ensembl:rRNA 5S_rRNA 5S ribosomal RNA
AUCUAUGGCCAUACCACCCUGAACAUGCCUGAUUUCAGCAGCUAAGCAGAGUCAGGCCUUGUUAGUAUUUGGUUGGAAGAAUAUCUAUGACUCAAAGAUA